rnacentral:rRNA from 1 species
UACAGAGGUGGCAAGCGUUGUUCGGAAUUACUGGGCGUAAAGGGCGCGUAGGCGGCCUUCUAAGUCAGACGUGAAAUCCCCCGGCUUAACCUGGGAACUGCGUCUGAUACUGGGAGGCUUGAGUAUGGGAGAGGGAUGUAGAAUUCCAGGUGUAGCGGUGAAAUUCGUAGAUAUUCGCAAGAACACCAGUGGCGAAGGCGGCUCACUGGCCCGGUACUGACGCUGAGGUGCGAAAGCGUGGGGAGCAAACAGG